rnacentral:lncRNA from 1 species
CUGUGCUCUGCUUUGUACUUCCCGCAUUUUUUUCUAUUACUCAUAGAACCUCUUGCUGUGGUAUUGAUUAUAAAUUUCACAAACACCAACCUAGCAAUCUCAUUUAAAAUAGAAAAGUUGCUUCAUUCUGUGUAUUUUUAUCAACCACAGAAAGGAUUCUGAUUUGCCUUCUUAAGGGAUGUAACCGUUAUUUGAAACAACCAUUAUUGCUAGGAAUUAAGUGUUAUGUUUAGACUGGCCUAUUCAGAAGAAAGAUGAUAGGAAAUAGUACUGAGUACACAUACAACAAAACAAUAGCUUCUUAAAUGUACUACAUCAGAGUAAUAUUAUUAUGCUCAUAUAUUGCUGGAAGGUAAUUAAGUUAUAAGCUUCCUGGAAAUAAACUUUUAAAUAUGUUUCAAAAACCUUAAAAUUGUUGAUAUUUAUGGCCUAGCAAUUCCAUUUCUGGGAAUUGACAUUACAGAAAUAUUGAGACAGACAUAUCAAUGUUUACAUAAAAGUAUAUUUAUU